rnacentral:rRNA from 1 species
UGGAGGCAGCAGUGAGGAAUCUUGCACAAUGGGGGAAACCCUGAUACAGCGACGCCGCGUGAGCGAUGAAGCCCUUCGGGGUGUAAAGCUCUUUCGGCAGGGACGAUCAUGACGGUACCUGCAGAAGCAGCUGCGGCUAACUACGUGCCAGCAGCCGCGGUAAUACGUAGGCAGUGAGCGUUGUUCGGAGUUACUGGGCGUAAAGGGUGUGUAGGCGGUCCUUUAAGUUUGGUGUGAAAUCUCCCGGCUUAACUGGGAGGGUGCGCCGAAUACUGAGGGGCUAGAGUGCGGGAGAGGAUAGUGGAAUUCCUGGUGUAGCGGUGAAAUGCGUAGAUAUCAGGAGGAACACCGGUGGUGUAGACGGCUAUCUGGACCGUGACUGACGCUGAGACACGAAAGCGUGGGUAGCAAACAGGAUUAGAUACCCUGGUAGUCU